rnacentral:rRNA from 1 species
AACAAGGUUUCCGUAGGUGAACCUGCGGAAGGAUCAUUGUCGAAGCCUCCACGGACGACCCGCGAACUUGUUCAUUUUACGCCUGGCGGCGGCGGCGGGGGGCCGAGUCCCCCCGGCGGCCCCGACAACGAACCCCGGCGCGGGACGCGCCAAGGACAACCCCGACGAGAUGGCACGCCCCCGGCGCCCGUUCGCGGGCGACGCGGGGCGGUGGCCUCUUUCGCGAACCGAAACGACUCUCGGCAACGGAUAUCUCGGCUCUCGCAUCGAUGAAGAACGUAGCGAAAUGCGAUACUUGGUGUGAAUUGCAGAAUCCCGCGAACCAUCGAGUCUUUGAACGCAAGUUGCGCCCGAAGCCGUCAGGCCGAGGGCACGUCUGCCUGGGCGUCUCGCAACGCGUCGCCCCCCGACCCCCUCCUGCGGGGGCGCCGGGGGGCGGACACUGGCCCCCCGUGAGCCGCGGCUCGCGGUCGGCCCAAAGACCGAGCCGCCGACGACGGACGGCGCGGCGAGUGGUGGAGCACGACGCGCCGCGCCCGUCUCCGUGGGCGGUCUCGCGCGACCCCGAAGCGGCGAGAGCAUCGACCGCGACCCCAGGUCAGGCGGGAUCACCCGCUGAGUUUAAGCAUA